rnacentral:lncRNA from 1 species
CUCCCUGGAUGGUUUUGGGGUGCUCUUGGGUGGUUUUGGGGUCUUCUGGGGCUUGCUGCGUGGUUUUGGGGGUCGUUUGGGGUUCCCUGGAUGGUUUUAGGGUGUUCUUGGAUGUUUUUGGGGUCUUUUGGGGUCCCCUUCGUGGUUUUGGGGUCUUUUGGAGAUUCCUGCGUGGUUUUGGGGUCUUUUAGGAUUUCUUGCAUGGUUUUGGGGUCUUUCGGGGCUCCUUGCAUGGUUUUGGGGUGUUCUUGGGUGGUUUUGGGAUCAUUUGGGGUCCUCUUCAGGGUUCUGGGGUCUUUUGGGGCUUCCUGUAUGGUUUUUGGGGUCAUUUGUGACUCCCUGGAUGGCUUUGGGGUGUCCUUGGGUGUUUUGGGGUCGUUUGGACUCCCUGCAUGGUUUUGGGGUCUUUUGGGGCUCCCUGCAUGGUUUUGGGGUGUUUUUUGCGUGGUUUUGGGGUCCCCUUCAUGGUUUUGGGGUCAUUUGGAGCUUCCUGAAUGGUUUCAGGGGGGUCUUGUGGGGUUUCCUGCAGGUUUUUGGGGUGUGGGGGGGGUCCUGAUGGUUUUGGGGUCCCCUGGGGGCUCCUUGGACACUUUUGGGGUGUCCUGGGAUGGUUUUAGGGCAAAACCUGGUGCUUUUGGGGUCUCUUGGAGCUCUCUGGGUGCUUUUGGGGUGCCCCUGCGUGGUUUUGGGGCCAAACCCGGUGUUUUUGGGGUCCCUGUGUCACCCCUGAGUGCUUUUGGGGUCCCCCUAUGGGGUUUUGGGGUUCCCCUGGGGCUCCCUGCAUGGUUUUGGGGCCAAACCCGGUGGUUUUGGGGUCCCUGUAGCAUCCCCGAGUGCUUUUGGGGUCCCCCUGUGUGGUUUUGGGGCCAAACCCGGUGGUUUUGGGGUCCCUGUGGCAUCCCUGAGUGAUUUUGGGGUCCCCCUAUGGGGUUUUGGGGUUCCCCUGGGGCUCCCUGCCUGGUUUUGGGGCCAAACCCGGCGCUUUUGGGGUCCCCCUGCGGGGUUUUGGGGUUCUCUGUAGGAUUUUUAGGGACGCUGCUUUUGGGNNNNNNNNNNNNN